AGGAGCCGUGUGCGGUAGUUCCGCAAGCACGGUUCUGAGAGGGUUGUGGGAUACAAUUUAACGGAAGUUAAAGAGAUCCCCUUCUACUCGAC
rnacentral:ncRNA from 1 species